UUUUGGUGUAUGGGAGAGAGAGAAUUUUUUGUGUAAUGAAAUUAGUUUUGGAACUUUUUGGAGAAGUGUAAGAAUGGUGGUUAUGAUGUGAAGGUUAUAUGGGGAUGAUGAAGUAGUGUGAAUGUUGAGUUUAAUGGAUGAAUUUUGGUGGUGAGGUUUUGAAGGAUAGGUUGAAGGUGGAAAACUGGUGAAGUUUGAGUGGGGUGGAGGAUUGUGUGAAAGGAGAGGGGAAGAGGGAUUUGAUUUGGGAUUGAAAAGAUAGGGUUUUUUA
rnacentral:lncRNA from 1 species